GACGAACGCUGGCGGCGCGCCUAAUACAUGCAAGUCGAGCGCAGGAAAUCGACGGAACCCUUCGGGGGGAAGUCGACGGAAUGAGCGGCGGACGGGUGAGUAACACGUAAAGAACCUGCCCUCAGGUCUGGGAUAACCACGAGAAAUCGGGGCUAAUACCGGAUGGGUCAUCGGACCGCAUGGUCCGAGGAUGAAAGGCGCUCCGGCGUCGCCUGGGGAUGGCUUUGCGGUGCAUUAGCUAGUUGGUGGGGUAAUGGCCCACCAAGACGCCGAUGCGUAGCCGACCUGAGAGGGUAAUCGGCCAAACUGGGACUGAGACACGGACCAGACUCCUACGGGAGGCAGCAGUAGGGAAUCUUCCACAAUGGACGAAAGUCUGAUGGAGCAACGCCGCGUGAACGAUGAAGGCCUUCGGGUCGUAAAGUUCUGUUGUAAGGGAAGAACAAGUGCCGCAGGCAAUGGCGGCACCUUGACGGUACCUUGCGAGAAAGCCACGGCUAACUACGUGCCAGCCGCCGCAGUAA
rnacentral:rRNA from 1 species